GCUGACAGUCGAUUUAUAAAGUAGCAUUCAGAGUCACAGAGCUCAUCCACGCCCCCUUCAGUUGUCGGGUGGGUAGGUCAUAUGGCCUGGUGGAAUACCCCGCUUGGACAGGGGGACCUCUGGGCUGAGGGACAGGUAGUCCCCCUGGAGGAGGCCUUUGCGUGAAGGAGGGCGGAGGAGGACCUGGACCAGUCCAAAGGCAGGAAGGAAGGGCGAUCCCUGCGUACCGUGAGGGGCAGAUUUGGAGGGAAGUUGGGCGAACUGACGAUGACUUAGGUAGUAAAGGGACAGGCCGGUCCCUAGCAAAGGCAACUGAAGAGGACAGCGAGGGAGGACCGGAUAAAAGGACAGUAGCAGUAGGUCCAGGACUGGGGACUGGUGACCAAGUGACUGAGCCUGAAAGCCAGAAUGGACUAGCCCUGGUCAAGACCGGUUUUUCCUCCCAAAAGGCCACGUCCUGCUGGAACAGACCACAGAAUGCCGGGCUGGGAGGCGUUUCCCUGGAAGACCCAGCAUAGCCAUGCCAGUGGGGUGCGCCAUAGGUGGAAGAAGAGGGGGGUUAUGUUGGAUCGAUCCACUCAGGGAGGGGAGGAUGUCAAUGACAGGUACUAAGAUGGAUUAAGGUCAGGAGCCGCAGGGUGGUGACUCAUUGGAGCUAACGCAGUCCAGGAUUCACCCCCACCUUUCCCCCUAAGACUGAGGUAGAUGGAAGGGGGCGGGUCGGGAAGUCCGUAGGAACUUUGUGCAUCUUUACAAUGGUCUGUACCAAUGAGGAGGAGGUAGGUGGUGUUCGGUGCAAAGGAUGAGCGUCCUAGGGGAAGGGUCCACUCAGGUGAGUGAGGGUGCGGGUGACAGAAUGAGAGGUGGCUAAAUCCGGGUGCAGAAUUUUGUUUUGCC
rnacentral:lncRNA from 1 species